GAGGGUAUAGCUCAGUGGUAGAGCAUGUGCUUGGCAUGCAAAAGGGCCUGGGUUCAACCCCCAGUACCUCCA
rfam:Camelus ferus unplaced genomic scaffold scaffold190, whole genome shotgun sequence.